rnacentral:rRNA from 1 species
UACGUAGGGACCAAGCGUUGUUCGGAUUUACUGGGCGUAAAGGGCGCGUAGGCGGCGUGUUAAGUCAGCUGUGAAAUCUCCAAGCUUAACUUGGAACGGUCAGCUGAUACUGAUGUGCUAGAGUGCAGAAGGGCAUCGGAAUUCUUGGUGUAGCGGUGAAAUGCGUAGAUAUCAAGAGGAACACCUGAGGUGAAGACGGGUUGCUGGGCUGACACUGACGUGGAGGCGCGAAAGCUAGGGUAGCAAACGGG